rnacentral:rRNA from 1 species
GGAGCUUGCUCCCUGAUGUUAGCGGCCCCCUAAAGAGUAACACGUGGGUAACCUGCCUGUAAGACUGGGACCUUUCCGGGAAACCGGGGCUAAUACCGGAUGGUUGUCUGAACCGCAUGGUUCAGACAUAAAAGGUGGCUUCGGCUACCACUUACAGAUGGACCCGCGGCGCAUUAGCUAGUUGGUGAGGUAACGGCUCACCAAGGCAACGAUGCGUAGCCGACCUGAGAGGGUGAUCGGCCACACUGGGACUGAGACACGGCCCAGACUCCUACGGGAGGCAGCAGUAGGGAAUCUUCCGCAAUGGACGAAAGUCUGACGGAGCAACGCCGCGUGAGUGAUGAAGGUUUUCGGAUCGUAAAGCUCUGUUGUUAGGGAAGAACAAGUGCCGUUCAAAUAGGGCUGUUCCUUGACGGUACCUAACCAGAAAGCCACGGCUAACUACGUGCCAGCAGCCGCGGUAAUACGUAGGUGGCAAGCGUUGUCCGGAAUUAUUGGGCGUAAAGGGCUCGCAGGCGGUUUCUUAAGUCU